rnacentral:rRNA from 1 species
AGAGUUUGAUCCUGGCUCAGGAUGAACGCUAGCUACAGGCUUAACACAUGCAAGUCGAGGGGCAGCAUGGUCUUAGCUUGCUAAGGCCGAUGGCGACCGGCGCACGGGUGAGUAACGCGUAUCCAACCUGCCUUACACUCUUGGACAGCCUUCUGAAAGGGAGAUUAAUACAAGAUGUUAUCAUGAGUAAGCAUUUUCGCAUGAUUAAAGGUUUACCGGUGUAAGAUGGGGAUGCGUUCCAUUAGAUAGUAGGCGGGGUAACGGCCCACCUAGUCUUCGAUGGAUAGGGGUUCUGAGAGGAAGGUCCCCCACAUUGGAACUGAGACACGGUCCAAACUCCUACGGGAGGCAGCAGUGAGGAAUAUUGGUCAAUGGACGAGAGUCUGAACCAGCCAAGUAGCGUGAAGGAUGAAGGUUCUAUGGAUUGUAAACUUCUUUUAUACGGGAAUAAACGGAUCCACGCGUGGAUUUUUGCAUGUACCGUAUGAAUAAGGAUCGGCUAACUCCGUGCCAGCAGCCGCGGUAAUACGGAGGAUCCGAGCGUUAUCCGGAUUUAUUGGGUUUAAAGGGAGCGUAGAUGGGUUGUUAAGUCAGUUGUGAAAGUUUGCGGCUCAACCGUAAAAUUGCAAUUGAUACUGGCAGUCUUGAGUACAGUUGAGGUAGGCGGAAUUCGUGGUGUAGCGGUGAAAUGCUUAGAUAUCACGAAGAACUCCGAUUGCGAAGGCAGCUUACUAACCUGUAACUGACAUUGAUGCUCGAAAGUGUGGGUAUCAAACAGGAUUAGAUACCCUGGUAGUCCACACGGUAAACGAUGAAUACUCGCUGUAGGCGAUAUACAGUCUGCGGCCAAGCGAAAGCAUUAAGUAUUCCACCUGGGGAGUACGCCGGCAACGGUGAAACUCAAAGGAAUUGACGGGGGCCCGCACAAGCGGAGGAACAUGUGGUUUAAUUCGAUGAUACGCGAGGAACCUUACCCGGGCUUAAAUUGCAACCGAAUAUGGCGGAAACGCUAUAGCUAGCAAUAGCGGUUGUGAAGGUGCUGCAUGGUUGUCGUCAGCUCGUGCCGUGAGGUGUCGGCUUAAGUGCCAUAACGAGCGCAACCCUUGCCGAUAGUUACUAACAGGUUAUGCUGAGGACUCUGUCGGGACUGCCAUCGUAAGAUGUGAGGAAGGUGGGGAUGACGUCAAAUCAGCACGGCCCUUACGUCCGGGGCUACACACGUGUUACAAUGGGGGGUACAGAGGGCUGCUACCACGCAAGUGGAUGCCAAUCCCAAAAACCUCUCUCAGUUCGGAUUGAAGUCUGCAACCCGACUUCAUGAAGCUGGAUUCGCUAGUAAUCGCGCAUCAGCCACGGCGCGGUGAAUACGUUCCCGGGCCUUGUACACACCGCCCGUCAAGCCAUGGGAGCCGGGGGUACCUGAAGUGCGUAACCGCAAGGAGCGCCCUAGGGUAAAACUGGUGACUGGGGCUAAGUCGUAACAAGGUAACC